CACAUCCGCCUAAAAUAUUACAUCCCCCAUAGAAAAAAUGAAAACGAGAACGCGCUUUCGAGUCAUUGCACUUAGAAUGCACUUAGAAGUGUAUCAAAUACGUCCGAAACAUUCAAUUAUAAACAAUAUAAUUAAUAAAAACGUUUUUUUGCUAAUAUACUAUAAAUGAAGUUAGCAUAAAAUGAUAAAAGUUUUUGAAUACCUUAUGCCGUCUUUGUAUUAAAUCAGUUUUAAUUUGCAAUUCAUCCAGUGAGCGUAGCCCAGCUGGCUACAGUACUUCGACUCGAUUCUUCAAAGCAUCAAUAAAUGGAAUGGCAUUCAAUAUAUUGUUUUAUAUUUAGAAUUAAAAUUUUAUUUAAAUAAAGACAAAUU
rnacentral:lncRNA from 1 species